AUUGAACGCUGGCGGCAUGCUUUACACAUGCAAGUCGAACGGCAGCAUAGGUGCUUGCACCUGAUGGCGAGUGGCGAACGGGUGAGUAAUGCAUCGGAACGUACCGAGUAGUGGGGGAUAACUGUCCGAAAGGAUGGCUAAUACCGCAUACGCUUUGAGAAGGAAAGCGGGGGAUCUUCGGACCUCGCGCUAUUCGAGCGGCCGAUGUCUGAUUAGCUAGUUGGUGGGGUAAUGGCCCACCAAGGCGACGAUCAGUAGCGGGUCUGAGAGGAUGAUCCGCCACACUGGGACUGAGACACGGCCCAGACUCCUACGGGAGGCAGCAGUGGGGAAUUUUGGACAAUGGGCGCAAGCCUGAUCCAGCCAUGCCGCGUGUAUGAAGAAGGCCUUCGGGUUGUAAAGUACUUUUGUCAGGGAAGAAAAGCUUUAGGUUAAUACCCUAGAGUGAUGACGGUACCUGAAGAAUAAGCACCGGCUAACUACGUG
rnacentral:rRNA from 1 species